GAUUCGUGAUCGGGAGAGCGCGCCGGGAAGCACAUGCCGACGCCGCCGAAGGGGUAACACCCGCAAACUCUCAGGCAAAAGGACCGAUCGUGACGA
rnacentral:ncRNA from 2 species